GUGUCAGCAGCCGCGGUAAGACGAACCGUGCGAACGUUGUUCGGAAUCACUGGGCUUAAAGGGCGCGUAGGCGGCCCGCAUAGUCCUGGGUGAAAUCCCCCGGCUCAACCGGGGAAGUGCCUGGGAUACUGGCGGGCUAGAGUGGGGUAGGGGCAGACGGAACUUCCGGUGGAGCGGUGAAAUGCGUUGAUAUCGGAAGGAACGCCGGUGGCGAAAGCGGUCUGCUGGACCCCUCCUGACGCUGAGGCGCGAAAGCCAGGGGAGCGAACGGGAUUAGAUACCCCGGUAGUCCUGGCCCUAAACGAUGGGUACCAGGUAGUGGGCCGGCAUGGGCCCACUGCCGGAGCGAAAGUGUUCAGUACCCCGCCUGGGGAGUAUGGUCGCAAGGCUGAA
rnacentral:rRNA from 1 species